AUUCACUCCAUUGGAGUUUCCUGAGUGAGCCCACAAUACAGGUUUUGCAGUCCUCAAGAACAGACUGAAAACUGUCUCCCCAGAUGCAAAACGUGGUUGAACAAACUGGUAGAGAAUCAUCUAAUCAGAGCAGGAAGGAAGUGGUUUUACACAGUACACAAAGAAUCACUUGGUCAUCUUUAGUUGCUCUCAUCCCUAAAACACGCUGCCUAAGACAAGAGACAUCUCUAGAAGGUGACAGUGGAUUCUAAACAUGCAUGCCUGGCAAGCCAGAAAAGGUCAUCAGCAAAAUAUGUCUAUAUGGCUUACAGUCCCACUUACCCUGCAAGCAACUGAACCAGUAAAAAACAAGCAUGGCUGUCCUUCUGCCUCCAUGAUUCUGGUCCACAUGCUAUGAUAACUUGGGUUUUUUACUGACUAAUCAGUACUCCAUUUUCUUACCUCCCAAUACAUUUCCUACUCUGUGGUAAGAUUCAGCUGGAAUUCAAGUCUGCCAGUGAACACCUGGGUAACUUCCGUCUCCUCACCUAGGACUUCUUUGGAGAAGUACUGUUAUCUGACGCAUAAAGUCUUAGCUCAGACAGCUGUUUAAAUAGAACCUCAGUAGGCUCCAUAGGCUUUUUCAUGUUUCUGGAAGCACCAAGUGGUUUGUUUUGCUUUCAUCUUUCAGUGUAUUUUGUUUACUCCGGACCAUCUCCCAUUCUCCAGCUCUUUUGAGGUCCAUAUUCUUCCUGUGUAGCUCUGUUGCACAUAUAUUUCUUUGUAUACUAAAAGAUUUUUUUGGAGCCCUUACUUCAUUUGAUUUCACACUAUGCUGCUUAGUCUUUAAACACUAUAGAAAUGAUAGCAAGUUUUCUCAAAAUGGUUUUCAGCAGCACAAACUGAAAGGAAAGCCCAAUGUCAAUUCUGGGCUAGCUUAGGCUUUUCAGAUUUUGUAUAAUCUAACAAUGACUUAACUUCUCUGACUAAAAUUUUAAAACUAAAGCAUGUGUAUCUGAAAGGAAUUAAUUUGCCUUGUGCCUAUUUUCAGAAAUUGACAUAAGCAAUAAAUUAUAAUGCACAAAUUUAAUUACACAGUCACCACAAUGAACAGGAAUUUUAUUAUGCUACUCCAGUAAUUCUAAUAAGCUCCACAUAAAGCCCCAUGAAGCAUUCUCAAACAGUAUUCUUUUGCAUUAGGCUACCAAUUAAAGAAAGAUAUACACAGCUAUAUUUUUUUAUGGCUGCAAUAAUAUUAGAUUCUCAGUUGCAGAGCUAUCUAUUUACAAGCAAAAUCAAAUCUUCAAUUCAUUGAAAAGUAUAAUUAGAUUUUUGCUUCCCCUAGGCUCAUAAGGAGGAGGGAUGUUAAAGAAAGAACGAAGCACAAAUAAAAGCAACUGUUCAUUUAAUAGGAGGCAGCUAAAUUUUGAAGGCAACAAAUCUUAAUGUGCUCAGUAUCUGAUGUUAUAACAUGUCUCCGACCAUGAAUUUCUUCUCAUUAAUACAGAGUUCUUGCUUGUCUGUAACUAGCAGCAAAGAAUAAUGGCUAUAUGCACUGCACAGUGCUGAACUGAUAUAUAAUUCAUGCU